ACUUAACUAAUAUACAAAGACACAAACAGGUUGAAAAGCACGCCAUUCUCCCACCUCAGCCUCCUGAGUAGCUGGGACUACAGUUUGUCUUGUGGCAUGGAGGACAGCUCAGCCACAGUAGAAUAAAGCACCAGGUGGAUUUCUAGGGCUUUUAACUCAAGGCCCUGGCUUCCAGAUGGCAUCUCCAGACCUUUCCAGGGCCAGGGGAACUUCCUGCCCUGAAGGAAAGGGCAUAAGUCUGGCUGGACUUGCCACUUGCUGAUUGUAGAGCCCUUAGUCAUUUCUUGAGUGAACAUAGGUGGUAGCCUAGCAGUGGUCACUGGGGGCCUUGGGUAAGACCCAGUGCUAUGCUGGCUUCAGGUCUG
rnacentral:lncRNA from 1 species